CGCACAUUUCACUUUUUUAUUAAGAAAGUUUUAUACAAUAUAAAAAAGACACUCUACAUUUCAACAUCUUCCCAUUAACAAUAUUUCAAUAUUUCUCAUUAUGCCUCUCUUUCAGAGACUUUUAUGUUACAUUAAUAUCAGAAGCUACAAAUGAAAUAAAAACAGUAUAUUAGCACACAAAUUUAAACUACAGCCUUAUAUCACAGGACAGUUUUGGCACUGACAUAUAUGUAUAAAAUUACUAGAUUUCUCGAUUUUCCAGUUUUUUUGGAUUGCAUCCCUUAAAAAUCUCAGCCAGCCAAACAGUUUAUUCUCCAGUUUGAUGCAUAAAACCUAGAGGCUCCCUAUCUUCACCUCUGCAUUACUUUCUUGAUUAUUGAUUAAUAGAUACAUGUUUAAUAAAUAAACCCUAUUAUAGAAAUAAAUGCUAAAAUAUUAAAUUUUCUCCAGAAUUAUGAUUAUAAUUCUUUCAAACAACAUGACAAAGCCUCAUCUGGGGGUCAUAUUUAAUACACUACAGUGAAAACCCAAAUUACAAAGAAAGAAGGGGUACAACAAAAAAAACAACAUAAAAAAAACAAAUAAUAUGCUCCAAUACCACCAAAUCUAAUUAUUUUGUUACAUCAGUAAAAAAAAAAAAAAAUUAAGGUUUUUAUGCGCUGUUGCAGAGAUAGCUUUUUUUUUUCUGUAAGACACUUACAAAUUGCAAGGUUUUUGGAAAAGUGCUUAAAAGUAUAACCUGGCUAUAUGUCAAAUUAAUAUGUUUUAGUAUAAAUUCAACAGAUUGACCAUUGAGUGGACCAUAAGGAACAAGAAUUAAUAAUUAAUAAAAUUCACGAGUAAUCUGCAUUUACUGAGUUUUAAAGGAUUUGUCUAAAUUAAAUAAUUUAACUACUUACAAUGAUAGGGAGCCAGGGCACUCCUGGUACCAUAACCACUAUGGCAUGCUGUAAUGGUUAUGGUGCUUGGAGUAUGCUUUAAAGCAGAAAAUGAUUAUAUUUUAAAUUCAAUUCCAAAUUGGCCAACAUCCAUCACUAUUAUUUGAGGAUUAGAAUGACCAUUUAUUGUCGAUUAGAAAAAUAAAUUUGACUGUAGAUUAUACAUAAAAGUUAGUUUGACAACCUAUGCACUAAUGCAUAUAUAUUUUUUCUGUUAUAC